rnacentral:rRNA from 1 species
AAGGGUCCGUAAAACGGUAAAUUAAGCGRUGAUUUUCCUAAAGAAUCAUUUUAAUUAUAUCGAACUAAUUUACUAGAGUCUUAUAGAGGAACAGAGGAAUUGCAAGAGUAAGGAUGAAAUCUAUUGAUACUUGUAGGACCGCCAACGGCGAAGGCAUCGUUCUAGGUAAAGACUGACGUUGAGGGACUAAGGCGUUGGGAGCGAAAAGGAUUAGAUACCCCUGUAGUCAACGCUGUAAACGAUGAGUGCUUAAGAUUAGUAAUAAUUAUUAUCCUUUUUUUCUCGACUUCCUGUUGUCUUCCGAGUUUUCGCUUGACUGGGCGGGGUUUCCCCUGCCCCUCUUCAAGAAAAACGAAAGCAAAAGCAAGACGGCGAGUUAAGUCCAAAAGGAAUAAUUCUAAAUUAGUCUCGAAAUGAAGAUGUUAAGCACUUCACCUGGGGAGUACUGUCGCAAGGCUGAAACCCAAAACAUUAGACGGUCACGGAAACCAGCAGUGAAGCAUGUUAUUUAAUACGAUGAUCCGCGUACAACCUUACCACUUCUUGAAUGUCCUUUCCCCUAAAAAGGAAAGGCCUGUUUAAGACGCAUUAUUGCUCUUAAAUUUGGAUAAAUACAACAGGCGUUGCAUGGCUGUCUUCAGUUCGUGUCGUGAGAUGUCAGGUUCAUUCCGGUAAACGAAUGAAACCCUUUUUUCUUAAUUUAUAAGUUAGAAGAUUAGAUUUUAUUUUAAUCAACAAACUUCAUUAAGAUAACCCUUGGAAAACGAGGAUAUAAUGGGGAUUAAGACAAGUCGUCAUGGCCUUUAUGAAGUGGGCUAUAGACGUGCCACAAAAGCCUUUACAAUGGGAUGCUAAGACGUGAGUCAGCGCUAAACCUUAAAAAAAAGGCUAUGUUCGGAUUGUAGUCUGCRACUCGACUACAUGAAGCAGGAAAUUGCUAGUAAUCGUAA